UACGAAGGGGGCGAGCGUUGUUCGGAAUUACUGGGCGUAAAGGGCGCGCAGGCGGCUCUGAAAGUCAGAUGUGAAAGCCCCGGGCUUAACCUGGGAAUUGCAUUUGAUACUCUGGAGCUUGAGUGUGGGAGAGGAGAGUGGAAUUCCCAGUGUAGAGGUGAAAUUCGUAGAGAUCGGGAGGAACAUCAGUUGCGAAGGCGGCUCUCUGGACCAGCACUGACACUGAGGCACGAAAGCGUGGGGAGCAAACAGG
rnacentral:rRNA from 1 species